rnacentral:pre_miRNA from 1 species
AACCCAGUUGCUGGCUUGUAUGAUAAAGUAUGUCCACUUUUGUAAGAAAUGUCCAAACUGUCUUCCAAACUAGCUGUACCAUUUUGCAUUCCCAUAAGCAAU